AUCCAACUGAAGAGUUCAAAAUAGGAUGAAAUGCUCAUCCUGGGU
rfam:Schistosoma curassoni strain Dakar, Senegal genome assembly, scaffold: SCTD_contig0009608